GUUGGCUAUUUUAUCUUUCAGUACAUAGGUUUGGUUGAGAAUCAGAGUGAUUGGUACUUGGGUAAAUUGUGGAAAUCACACCGUCCAUGGCCAGCACUUGGACGAGGGUACAAUACAGGUGUCAUUCUUAUUCGACUGGAUGUCAUGAGGCAGAGGAACUGGUCUCAAAAAUGGAAACUUAUAGCAGAAAGAGACUUAACAACACUUUUCUCCACUCAGCUUGCUGAUCAAGAUAUCAUUAAUGCUGUUAUCAAGCAACAUCCAGAGAUUGUAUAUAAUAUUCCCUGCCAAUGGAAUGUUCAGCUUUCUGAUAACACUCGCUCAGAAACUUUGCUAUCUUGAAGUGAUGGAUUUGAAGGCUAUUCAUUGGAAUUCACCCAAAAAAUUAAAGGUGAAAAACAAACACGUUGAGUUCUUUCGAAAUCUUCAUCUUACAUUUUUAGAAUAUGAUGGGAAUUUACUCAGGAAUGAAUUAUUUGGUUGUCAUCAUUCUAGAU